rnacentral:misc_RNA from 1 species
AGCAGCCGCGGUAAUUCCAGCUCCAAUAGCGUAUAUUAAAGUUGUUGCAGUUAAAAGCUCGUAGUUGAAUUUCGGGAUCAAAGGAUCGGUCAUGCCUUGGUAUGUACUGGUUUUAUUGGUUCUCACCUUCUAAAGAACCAUAAUGUCAUUCAUUUGAUGUUAUGGGGAAUUAGGACUGUUACCUUGAAAAAUUAGAGUGUUUAAAGCAGGCUUACGCUUGAAUACAUUAGCAUGGAAUAAUGAAAUAGGACAUCAGAUUCUAUUUUGUUGGUUUCUAGGAUCGAUGUAAUGAUUAAUAGGGAUAGUUGGGGGCAUUAGUAUUCAAUUGUCAGAGGUGAAAUUCUUGGAUUUAUUGAAGACUAACUACUGCGAAAGCAUUUGCCAAGGAUGUUUUCAUUAAUCAAGAACGAAAGUUAGGGGAUCGAAGACGAUCAGAUACCGUCGUAGUCUUAACCAUAAACUAUGCCGACUAGGGAUCGGAUGAUGUUAAUUUUAUAAUGACUCU